UCGGGAAUUUUGGGCAAUGGGCGAAAGCCUGACCCAGCAACGCCGCGUGAAGGAUGAAGUAUUUCGGUAUGUAAACUUCGUAAGAAUAGGAAGAAUAAAUGACGGUACUAUUUGUAAGGUCCGGCUAACUACGUGCCAGCAGCCGCGGUAAUACGUAGGGACCAAGCGUUGUUCGGAUUUACUGGGCGUAAAGGGCGCGUAGGCGGUGUGUCAAGUCAGUUGUGAAAUCUCCGAGCUUAACUCGGAACGGUCAACUGAUACUGUCACACUAGAGUACAGAAGGGGCAAUCGGGAUUCUUGGUGUAGCGGUGAAAUGCGUAGAUAUCAAGAGGAACACCUGAGGCGAAGGCGGGUUGCUGGGCUGAUACUGACGCUGAGGCGCGAAAGCUAGGGUAGCAAACGGGAUUAGAUACCCCAGUAGUCCCUGAGCGGGCUGGCAAGGCGCAU
rnacentral:rRNA from 1 species